CCUACGGGGGGCAGCAGUGAGGAAUAUUGGUCAAUGGACGAGAGUCUGAACCAGCCAAGUAGCGUGAAGGAUGACUGCCCUAUGGGUUGUAAACUUCUUUUAUAUGGGAAUAAAAUGUUCCACGUGUGGGAUUUUGUAUGUCCCCUAUGAAUAAGGAUCGGCUAACUCCGUGCCAGCAGCCGCGGUAAUACGGAGGAUCCGAGCGUUAUCCGGAUUUAUUGGGUUUAAAGGGAGCGUAGGUGGAUUGUUAAGUCAGUUGUGAAAGUUUGCGGCUCAACCGUAAAAUUGCAUUUGAAACUGGCAGUCUUGAGUACAGUAGAGGUGGGCGGAAUUCGUGGUGUAGCGGUGAAAUGCUUAGAUAUCACGAAGAACUCCGAUUGCGAAGGCAGUUCACUGGACUGCAACUGACACUGAGGCUCGAAAGUGUGGGUAUCAAACAGGAUUAGAUACCCGAGUAGUC
rnacentral:rRNA from 1 species